UACGUACCGUACGAACGUUAUUCGGAAUUACUGGGCUUAAAGGGUUUGUAGGCGGCCACGUAAGUCAGGUGUGAAAUCCCUCGGCUCAACCGAGGAACGGCGCUUGAUACUGCGUGGCUUGAGGGAGACAGGGGUAAGCGGAACUGAUGGUGGAGCGGUGAAAUGCGUUGAUAUCAUCAGGAACACCGGUGGCGAAAGCGGCUUACUGGGUCUCUUCUGACGCUGAGGAACGAAAGCUAGGGUAGCGAAC
rnacentral:rRNA from 1 species